rnacentral:rRNA from 1 species
GUUGAACGCUAGCGGGAGGCCUAACACAUGCAAGCCGAGCGGUAUGGGUAGCUUGCUACCCAGAGAGCGGCGUACGGGUGCGUAACACGUGUGCAACCUGCCCCUAUCCGGGGGAUAGCCCUCCGAAAGGAGGAUUAAUACCCCAUAAUAUAUCUGGUGGCAUCACUAGAUAUUGAAAACCCCGGUGGAUAGGGAUGGGCACGCGCAAGAUUAGAUAGUUGGCGGGGUAACGGCCCACCAAGUCGAUGAUCUUUAGGGGUCCUGAGAGGGAGAUCCCCCACACUGGUACUGAGACACGGACCAGACUCCUACGGGAGGCAGCAGUGAGGAAUAUUGGACAAUGGGUGGAAGCCUGAUCCAGCCAUCCCGCGUGAGGGACGACGGCCCUAUGGGUUGUAAACCUCUUUUGUACGGGGAUAAACCUAUCUACGUGUAGAUAGCUGAAGGUACCGUACGAAUAAGCACCGGCUAACUCCGUG